UACGAAGGGGGCUAGCGUUGUUCGGAAUCACUGGGCGUAAAGCGCACGUAGGCGGAUCUUUAAGUCAGGGGUGAAAUCCCGAGGCUCAACCUCGGAACUGCCUUUGAUACUGGGGAUCUCGAGUCCGGGAGAGGUGAGUGGAACUGCGAGUGUAGAGGUGAAAUUCGUAGAUAUUCGCAAGAACACCAGUGGCGAAGGCGGCUCACUGGUCCGGAACUGACGCUGAGGUGCGAAAGCGUGGGGAGCAAACAGG
rnacentral:rRNA from 1 species